rnacentral:rRNA from 1 species
UACGGAGGGUGCAAGCGUUGUUCGGAUUUACUGGGCGUAAAGGGCGCGUAGGCGGCGUGACAAGUCACUUGUGAAAUCUCCGGGCUUAACCCGGAGCGGCCAAGUGAUACUGUCGUGCUAGAGUGCGGAAGGGGCUACUGGAAUUCUCGGUGUAGCGGUGAAAUGCGUAGAUAUCGAGAGGAACACCUGCGGCGAAGGCGGGUAGCUGGGCCGACACUGACGCUGAGGCACGAAGGCCAGGGGAGCAAACGGG